rnacentral:rRNA from 1 species
UAGGGAAUCUUCGGCAAUGGGGGGAACCCUGACCGAGCAACGCCGCGUGAGUGAAGAAGGUUUUCGGAUCGUAAAGCUCUGUUGUUAAGGAAGAACGAGUGUGAGAAUGGAAAGUUCAUACUGUGACGGUACUUAACCAGAAAGGGACGGCUAACUACGUGCCAGCAGCCGCGGUAAUACGUAGGUCCCGAGCGUUGUCCGGAUUUAUUGGGCGUAAAGCGAGCGCAGGCGGUUAGAUAAGUCUGAAGUUAAAGGCAGUGGCUCAACCAUUGUAGGCUUUGGAAACUGUUUAACUUGAGUGCAGAAGGGGAGAGUGGAAUUCCAUGUGUAGCGGUGAAAUGCGUAGAUAUAUGGAGGAACACCGGUGGCGAAAGCGGCACUCUGGUCUGUAACUGACGCUGAGGCUCGAAAGCGUGGGGAGCGAACAGG